UACGUAGGAGGCAAGCGUUGUCCGGAUUUACUGGGCGUAAAGCGCGCGCAGGCGGCACGUCAGGUACGGAGUGAAAUCUCCCUGCCUAACGGGGAGGGUGCUCUGUAGACUGGCGAGCUAGAGGACGGUAGAGGGGGGUAGAAUUGCUGGUGUAGCGGUGAAAUGCGUAGAGAUCAGCAGGAAUACCCGUGGCGAAGGCGGCCCCCUGGGCCGUAUCUGACGCUGAGGCGCGAAGGCUAGGGGAGCGAACGGC
rnacentral:rRNA from 1 species